CCCUUGUCCAGAACUGAUAGAGCCAUCCAGUAAAAGUAACACUACUUUUAGUUUACGUGAUUAUUUUUAUUGAUGCAUAAAAUACCAUUACUUGAUUAACUAAUCAUUUCGUAUCAUUCCAUGAAAUGCAGUAUUUUACAUGCACGGAGGUAAAUAUACAUAUGGUUAUUGCACUAUUCACAUUUUACACUGUACAUGGCUUUUAUACAAUACAUUACAUAGAUUAUAAGCCGGUUUUCCACUAGGCGGAAUUUUGCGCGCGGAGCGGAUAAAUCUUUAUCUUGUGAUUAAUCGGGUGGAACCAAUUAGAGGAGACAAAGAAAAAAUUCCGCUCCGCGCGGAAAAUUCCAUCUAAUGCAAAAUCGGCUUUAGGACUGUUUGCAAGAUUUGUCUUUGCGCAAACAGGAUUGGAGGUGUGAUUGUUUUAAUGGAACGGAGUGGAGUCAUUUGUUUAGCAAAAAUUGCGUGACUGACUUUUGCCGUAUACCAAGACUACACGAAAUCUCCAAUCCCGUUUGGACUACACACAGCCGAGAAUACCCCCGGUCCCGCCCCCAUUUUAAUAUUUACUCCAGUUUUUAAAUAUAAAGCCAAACGCUGUGCUAUAGUUGAGGUUUUCCUCUUGCUACAGGGUUCUUGAUAGGUCCAGUUGGUAUGAACUUUGGUUGUACCAAUGUGGCUUCUGCAGCAAUGUCUUCUUCUG
rnacentral:lncRNA from 1 species